UACGUAGGGGGCUAGCGUUGUCCGGAUUUAUUGGGCGUAAAGAGCUCGUAGGUGGUUCGGUAAGUCGGAUGUGAAAUCUCCAGGCUCAACCUGGAGGGGUCAUUCGAUACUGCCGUGACUAGAGGUCGGUAGGGGAGUGUGGAAUUCCUGGUGGAGCGGUGAAAUGCGCAGAUAUCAGGAGGAACACCAGCGGCGAAGGCGGCGCUCUGGGCCGGAACUGACGCUGAGGAGCGAAAGCGUGGGGAGCGAACGGG
rnacentral:rRNA from 1 species